rnacentral:tRNA from 1 species
AUUUAUAUAGUUUAAUGUAAAACUUUUCAUUUUCAAUGAAAAAAUAAGAAUAUUUCUUUAUAAAUA